rnacentral:lncRNA from 10 species
UAGAGCCAUCUGUGCCAGAACCAUGACCCUGGGCAGGGGAGACUCCGGGAGAAAAUGUCUCUCCCAAGCAGCCACUCUGCCAGACACAGCGCCCUGCCCUCACUGGUCCUCAGACUGCCUGCUGCCAGCCCUGGGUGCUGACUGCUACAGAGCCUGAAACCUCAAGAACAUCAGGGACCGCGAUGCCUGCUGCUUCCCAUGGAGUCUCCUCUUCUGCUCAUGCUGCUGAGUGCUGGUUCCGAUGGAGUCUCCUCUUCUGCUCAGGCAGUGCCAGGGGCGGCUGAGUGGCCCCUGCCCCAGGCACCUCCACUCGGCAGCGCCACGAGGUCCCAGUCCGCAGGUGGGAGCCAUUCCAACCCACUGGCCCUGCAAUUCCAGCCGAAGCACCCCAGGACACCGGCCUCCUUCCCCGGUGCGUCCAUCCCUGCCGGGCUGUAGGAAUUCCUUCAGGAGCUGCCGGUGCCCUGGGGGGUCUUCAAGCUUCACCCUUUCCCUGAGACAGCCUCGUGUCCCCUCCUCAGCCCCACUCCAUUCUCAGGCGCAGGAGUGCGCCCCUGCAGCCCGCCCAGGCCCCCGAGGCUGAUGGAUGUGUGUUGACGGUGGUGUGUUGGGAGCAUCCCAUCCCCGGCACCAAGAACCAAAUGCAUAAUAAAAAGAUAGAACCAUCACUGCAAUUGUCUGAUCUAUAUUUAUUUCAUAACAUGCAGAAUUAAUAAGAUACCGGGUUUAAAGCUACCAUGGUAACCAAAUGCAGAAUGGCUUGUCCCAGGAAAUAGAUGAAUUCAUAAAUAACCCCGAAGUGCUGAUAUCAACAGUCGCGGGACCCUCCUGCAAUGUUAAUUCGACGCCCGUGCCCCCUGCGGCCUGUGUCCGGCGCAUCCCGGGCAUCUGGAGUGAGGGACACUUGUGGCUUCCACCACAAGCGUCACUCCAGGGACAAUAGACUGGCUGCCCUUACCUGGAGCCUGGUAUGUGAUGGCCAAGUCCUCAAGACUGGGCAAAUCGGAGCCCCUGCCAAGCUCUGAUCCCUGUGGGGACCAGCUCUGCAGAUAAAUGGCCACUGGGAGGUUGUGGGGGUGGGCACAGCAGGCCACCCUAUCGCCCUGUAGUUCUGACAGCCAGGCGGGAGCCUCUGGUCCUGCCUUUGUAGGCACCAAGGCAAUUCAUGGGAGAAGGCAUCUGUUCAUUCAUGCAAUCAGGCAUUCCUUUGACAAAUGUCUCCUGGCCACCAAGCUUGUGGGCACACAGCAGGCGGGCUGGGCAGGGGAGCAGCCUCCAGACACUCAAGCAGCUGACCCUGCCUCCCCGGCCAACGGCAGGAAAUGCUGGGGCCACCUCAGGGCUGUCCCUCCGCACGGGGUGAGAGCCCUGCUGGACAUUCCCUUAGCACUUGACUGAGAGCUGGUCACAUGCUGCCUGUGCCACUGUGGGUCUCCAUGACCUUCACGUUCCACAACAGAACAGCUCCCCACGGCCACGAUUGUGCCAAGGGGCGUGCAGGGGCCAUGGCAGCAUGUGACAGUAGCCAGCAAGGGCCAGGGCAGCAUGUGACAGUAGCCAGCAAGGGCCACGGCAGCUGCCCGACCAGCUGCCCACAGGAUGGGGCUAAGCCACGCUUCCAGGUGGGUGGCCCUGGCCUCGAUUCAGGCCUCAGCCCGUCCUGAGGGUGAGUGCCCCUGCCCCAGGAGCCUGUCUCCUGUCUGAGCAAUGUGAACCCCUGCCCCUGCCUGGCCAGAAUCCCAAGAAAGAAUCCAAUAGAAUCAGUGAAACCCCGGGGCAGGGGUGAGGGAGGCAUGAGGCAAGCACCGGGGACCCUUAGGGCAGGGAAACUAUUGUACAGAGCGCUGUGAGGGUGGGUGCUGUCUUUAUGCACCUGUCCAAAGCCACGCCAUGCACACCUCCAAGAGGGACCCCUAAUGUACGCUGUGGACUCUGAGGAAUGAUGAUUUUGCUGUGAACCUAAAACUGCUCUAAACAAUAAAGU